rnacentral:rRNA from 1 species
UUUUUUAUAAAAGUAAUUUAUUUAUUUAAGGUUUUAGUAUUAAUUAAAAAUUAAUUUAUAGAUUUAUAGUUUAAUAGUAUUGUAAAAGAAAUUAUAAAAUUUUAAAAAGAAUAAAAUUAGUACCUUUUGUAUCAGGGUUGAUUAAAAUUUUUAAUUUUUUUUUAAAUUCUCAAAAUUUAUAGAGUUAAUUUUAUUAUUAAUUUAUUGUAUUAUAAAUAUUUAUAAAAUAAUAUUAGUUUUGAAAUUUAAUUCGUUAUAUUAUAUUUAGUUAUUUAAGAUUUAAAUUUAAUUUAAAAUUUUAAAAGUUAUAUUGAUUUUAUUAAUUAAUAUUUUAAAUUUAAAUUAUUUUAGGGAUAAGCUUGAAAUUUUUAUAUAAUAACAUAGUUAUUUUAAUAAUUUAUAGGAAUAGAAAUUUUUAUUUUAAGUUUGUAAAAAUUUAUUAUUUAUUUAAUUUUAAUUUAUUAUAUUUAUUUAUUUUUUAUAUUAAAUUUUAUUAAUUAAUAUUUAAUUAAUAGUAAUAAUGAUUAAAUUAGUAUAAUUAAUAUAUUUAUAAAUUAUGAAUUCGGCAAAAAUUAUUUUCAUCUGUUUAACAAAAACAUUGUAUUAAGUUUAAUUUAAUAUAGGAUCUGCUCAAUGAUUUAUUAAAUAGCUGCAGUAUUUUGACUGUGCAAAGGUAGCAUAAUAAUUAGUCUUUUAAUUGAGGACUUGAAUGAAAGAUUUGAUGAGAAAUAGACUUUAUUAUUUAUAAAAUUAAAAUUUUAUUUUUAAGUAAAAAAGCUUAAAUUAUUUAAAGGGACGAUAAGACCCUAUAAAACUUUAUAAAUUUUAGUUUUAAUUUUUUUGGCUUAUAAAUAUUUUAUUAUUAAAAUUUAUUUUAUUGGGGUGAUAAAAAAAAUUAAUAAACUUUUUUUAAAAUUAAACAUUAUUUAAUGAAUAUUUGAAUUAAAAUUUUUAAUUAUAGGAAAAAGUUACUUUAGGGAUAACAGCGUAAUUAAUUUUUUAAGUUCAAAUUUAAAAAUUAGUUUGCGACCUCGAUGUUGAAUUAAGAUUAAUCUUAGGUGCAAAAUUUUAAGUAUUAGGUCUGUUCGACCUUUAAA